rnacentral:rRNA from 1 species
UACGGAGGGUGCAAGCGUUACUCGGAAUCACUGGGCGUAAAGCGCGCGUAGGCGGUGAGGCAAGUCAGGUGUGAAAGCCCUCGGCUUAACCGAGGAAAUGCACUUGAAACUGCCUUUCUUGAGUACGGGAGAGUGAAGUGGAAUUCCCAGUGUAGAGGUGAAAUUCGUAGAUAUUGGGUGGAACACCAGUGGCGAAGGCGGCUCACUGGACCGGUACUGACGCUAAGGCACGAAAGCGUGGGGAGCAAACAGC